rnacentral:rRNA from 1 species
UACGUAGGGUGCGAGCGUUGUCCGGAAUUAUUGGGCGUAAAGAGCUCGUAGGCGGCUUGUCGCGUCGGAUGUGAAAGCCCGGGGCUUAACUCCGGGUCUGCAUUCGAUACGGGCAGGCUAGAGUUCGGUAGGGGAGAUCGGAAUUCCUGGUGUAGCGGUGAAAUGCGCAGAUAUCAGGAGGAACACCGGUGGCGAAGGCGGGUCUCUGGGCCGAUAUUGACGCUGAGGAGCGAAAGCGUGGGGAGCAAACAGG